rnacentral:rRNA from 1 species
UGGGGAAUAUUGCGCAAUGGGCGAAAGCCUGACGGUGCGACGCCGCGUGGAGGAUGAAGGCCCUAGGGUCGUAAACUCCUGUCAUCAGGGAGUAAUGGCUCAUAUAGUAACUGAUAUGGGUCUUGAUAGUACCUGAAGAGGAAGGGACGGCAAACUUCGUGCCAGCAGCCGCGGUAAUACGAAGGUCCCAAGCGUUGUUCGGAUUUACUGGGCGUAAAGAGUCUGUAGGCGGUGGGGUAAGUCAGAUGUGAAAUCCCGGGGCUCAACCCCGGAACUGCAUCCGAUACUGCCUUACUUGAGGGUCGGAGGGGAGUCUGGAAUUCUCGGUGUAGCAGUGAAAUGCGUAGAUAUCGAGAGGAACACUAGUGGCGAAGGCGAGACUCUGGACGACAACUGACGCUGAGAGACGAAGGCCAGGGGAGCGAAAAGGAUUAGAUACCCACGUAGUCCCUGAGCGGGCUGGCAAGGCGCAU